rnacentral:lncRNA from 13 species
CUUCUUUCAAGAACAAAGACUGUACCCUUUCUUAAAGGAACUUACUUUGCUCUGGUGUUGUGCCAGUGUUUCCGUCAGUGACUUCACGUUUCACUUUGCUUUCCUUCUCGUUCAUUCAGAGAUGAACAUACAAUGUAUUUCACAAAAAAAGCAUUUCAUAAUAAUCUGAAAAUACCUCAAUGUGGGUAAUUUUAAUAAUUUUAUGGGAGUUAUGCCUCCUCUUUUCUGAUUAUGAGUGAUAAUUUUUGUUCCUGUGAUAGAUUAGAAUACUGAAGAAGUUAAUUUAAUGAAAAAGAGAAGCUAUUUAAUGACAGAAUAAUUGAAUUCUGGAUGGGAUCUGAUAUGUUAAAUAACAGACAACUAAUUCAUAAUGUCUACGACCAACACUAGUAAUAGAAAGAGCAAUCACUGAAAAAAAACUAACUUGUGCUAAGAGAGCAAAACUGGGACUAUUGCUUUACCACCUUCUCAGAACUGGCAUAUCCAAAUUUAACCUCAUUUGCUAUAUCUGAUCCACAGAAAAAGAUUCCUAAUCAUGUCUGUAUUUAAUUAGAUUCAAAUAGUUUCAGAGAGGUUUUCAGCUUUGCAAGUUUGCAGAACAUAGGGCUUAGACUUUUCCUCCUAUCACAGAAUAUCAAGCCUUAGGUCUGACUUGGCUCAUAUACAAAGCAAAAACAGCCCUCUUUCCCCAUUAUCCCUUACUGUCAUCAAGCUUGACAGCUGAUACUUGGCCAGGAUGCUAACAAACAGUGCAGCUCUAAAAGGAAUAGCAAGAUUAUUUCCAGCCUAAAUGGCAAGCUUUGCCAGGACAAAGCCACUAUUAGAGCUGUUAGAACUUGCAAACUUUGGUUUCCCUAUAAAGGUAAGAUGGUAGAAGGUGCAACCUUCAGCAUGCAUAUCUCUGAAACAUUCAACCAGCCAGCCUUCUCUCCCACCGUGGCUCUUCUGGAUUAAAUGAGGUGAGUUUAUUUCUUCUUAGCUCUAUUAGUUUACUUUAUUCUAGGGUGAUUUGAUAGAUAUACU